UGGAAGGUCUGUGCAUAAUUUUCAGAUUGUUUGUCAAUGUUCUGUAAAAUACAAAGAAAUCACAACAAUCAGAUGAUUCAAUUCAAAUUGGUUUUAUUUAUUUAUUUGGCUGGUUCUGUGAAUUCUGCGUGUACUGCAGAGUCUGAGUAGUGAGAGCGUGAAAGGAAAGGUGAUCUUGACCAGUAUGAACUCUUAUGGAUGGGGAUAGAAAUAUAGCCAGCAGACUUCUUGCAGUUAAGGUGAUUGUCAUAUUACUAAUAGUAAACUAUACCUUUUUUUUUCAUAAAUACUAUUAUCACUUCUCAUUAGUAACACUUAUCAUGUUUCACGGCAAUAUACUAGGACAGCAGAGAGGGAAGCAAGCUUGAUUCUACCAAUGCCCAUAAUGCAGAAGACAAUUGAUUAUCUACUUUUUCUGCUAGAUCAGCCCUAUGUUGAGAGGUUUCUUAGUGCAUAUAAAUUCUUGUGGAAUAGGAUGAGAGCAAUUAGAAUGGACCUGAGAAUGCAGCACAUUUUCUAUGAAGAGGCUAUUCUAUGCUUGAACA